rnacentral:sRNA from 1 species
ACCUGGCCGGGAUCGAUGAAGUGCACGUGACAGUCGAUGCCACCCGCCGUCACGAUCAGGCCCUCGGCCGCGCGGAUGUCAGUGUUCACGCCCACGCGCAGGCCGGGCGUCACUCCGUCCAUGAUGUUCGGAUCGCCUGCCUUGCCGAUGCCGACGAUACGACCGUCCUUGAUGCCGAUAUCGCCCUUGACGAUCCCGGCGACCGCAUCGAUGACGAGUGCAUUGGUGACGACGAGAUCCAGCACCCCGUCGGCCGCGGUCCGUUCGCCGUCGCAGCCGGU